rnacentral:rRNA from 2 species
AUUCGACGAAGCUAAUACCGGAUAGGACUUCUCCUUCAUGGGAGAGAUUGAAAGAUGGUUUCGGCUAUCACUUACAGAUGGGCCCGCGGUGCAUUAGCUAGUUGGUGAGGUAACGGCUCACCAAGGCAACGAUGCAUAGCCGACCUGAGAGGGUGAUCGGCCACACUGGGACUGAGACACGGCCCAGACUCCUACGGGAGGCAGCAGUAGGGAAUCUUCCGCAAUGGACGAAAGUCUGACGGAGCAACGCCGCGUGAGUGAUGAAGGCUUUCGGGUCGUAAAACUCUGUUGUUAGGGAAGAACAAGUACGAGAGUAACUGCUCGUACCUUGACGGUACCUAACCAGAAAGCCACGGCUAACUACGUGCCAGCAGCCGCGG